GACGAACGCUGGCGGCGUGCCUAAUACAUGCAAGUAGAACGCUGAAGAGAGGAGCUUGCUCUUCUUGGAUGAGUUGCGAACGGGUGAGUAACGCGUAGGUAACCUGCCUUGUAGCGGGGGAUAACUAUUGGAAACGAUAGCUAAUACCGCAUAACAAUGGAUUACACAUGUCAUUUAUUUGAAAGGGGCAAUUGCUCCACUACAAGAUGGACCUGCGUUGUAUUAGCUAGUAGGUGAGGUAACGGCUCACCUAGGCGACGAUACAUAGCCGACCUGAGAGGGUGAUCGGCCACACUGGGAGGGAGACACGGCCCAGACUCAUACGGGAGGCAGCAGUAGGGAAACGUCGGCAAUGGGGGCAAACCUGACCGAGCAACGCCGCGUGAGUGAAGAAGGUUGUCGGAUCGUAAAGCUCGGUUGUAAGUCAAGAACGAGUGUGAGAGUGGAAAGUUCACACUGUGACGGUAGCUUACCAGAAAGGGACGGCUAACUACGUG
rnacentral:rRNA from 1 species